rnacentral:rRNA from 1 species
CCUACGGGAGGCAGCAGUGGGGAAUAUUGGACAAUGGGGGGAACCCUGAUCCAGCGACGCCGCGUGAGUGAAGAAGUAUUUCGGUAUGUAAAGCUCUAUCAGCAGGGAAGAAAAUGACGGUACCUGACUAAGAAGCCCCGGCUAACUGCGUGCCAGCAGCCGCGGUAAUACGUAGGGGGCAAGCGUUAUCCGGAUUUACUGGGUGUAAAGGGAGCGUAGACGGUGCAGCAAGUCUGAUGGGAAAGGUCGGGGCUCAACCCCGGGACUGCAUUUGAAACUGUUGAACUGGAGUACAGGAGAGGGAAGCGGAAUUCCUAGUGUAGCGGUGAAAUGCGUAGAUAUUAGGAGGAACACCAGUUGCGAAGGCGGCUUACUGGACUGUAACUGACGUUGAGGCUCGAAAGCGUGGGGAGCAAACAGGAUUAGAUACCCCUGUAGUC